rnacentral:rRNA from 1 species
GAUGAAUGCUGGCGGCGUGCCUAACACAUGCAAGUCGAGCGGUAACAGAUCUAGCUUGCUAGAUGCUGACGAGCGGCGGACGGCUGAGUAACGCGUGAGAACAUACCCCAAAGUGAGGGAUAACCGCCCGAAAGGGUGGCCAAUACCGCAUAUGGUCUUCGGAUUAAAGGAUUUAUCCGCUUUGGGAAUGGCCUGCGUACGAUUAGAUAGUUGGUGAGGUAAUGGCUUACCAAGUCUACGAUCGUUAACUGGUUUGAGAGGAUGAUCAGUCAGACUGGAACUGAGACACGGUCCAGACUCCUACGGGAGGCAGCAGUGAGGAAUCUUCCACAAUGGGCGAAAGCCUGAUGGAGCAACGCCGCGUGCAGGAUGAAGGCCUUCGGGUUGUAAACUGCUUUUAUAAGUGAAGAAUAUGACGGUAACUUAUGAAUAAGCACCGGCUAACUACGUGCCAGCAGCCGCCGUA